rnacentral:rRNA from 1 species
GUCUCAGUUCGGAUUGAAGGCUGAAAUUCGCCUUCAUGAAGCUGGAAUUGCUAGUAAUGGCAGGUCAGCAUACUGCCGUGAAUACGUUCCCGGGCCUUGUACACACCGCCCGUCACACCAUGAGAGUUGGGAAUACCCGAAGCCUGUGAGCUAACUGUAAGGAGGCAGCAGUCGAAGGUAGAAUCAAUGAUUGGGGUGAAGUCGUAACAAGGUACC